rnacentral:sRNA from 1 species
CAGCAGAAGCGUCCGCUCCGUUGAGCAGAA